CUCCUGAAUUCUAUGGGAGGCGGAACUGCCAAUUUCGAAGGUGAGGCAGAUAAGAGGGGAGAGGAACAGAUAUGCGCUUGCUAACCCUUGAGUAGGGUGAGCAUGAGAAGGUAAAUAAUGCUACUACCUAUGCUGGUCUUAGUUCUUAGUACUUAGUAGUAGAACUGAGUUUGCUUUGCUUUUGUAUAAAUAAAAGAUAGUUGUUUGCUUGUUGCGUGGAUUAGCAAUCUGAUGUUUUGGAUUGCAUCUUGUUGAGAGAGAUUUUCACCUUAGGGAAGAAUGGUACCAACUUCAGCUUAGUAGAGAUUUUACAAAGAGAAAUGCAACUUCAUAUUAGCUGCUUUCCAUCAAUCAGUAAUCACUUGCCUGAUAUGGCAGGAUUGGGAGUUUUAGAACCCUUAAAUUAACAAAUGGACAAAAAUUAAACCAGAAAUCGUUAUCAUAUUCAGACCAACAAAUUGAUUGAUUAUGGUUGGGCCAACAAUUUGCUCUGUUUUCAGAAGCCAAGCCAUAGGUGGAAACAAAUUGAUGGAUAAGUGUAAAAUAUUUUUCAUUGAUUCAUUUAUUCAGAAUUUUUGUAAAAUUAAAGUAGGAAUUGCAAAGACUUUUUUCUAAAGCAUGGAUAGCAACACUGCAGAAAUAAUGCAACUAAUCUCCUUAAAAUAAAGACUAUUUGGACUGAGAAAGCUUAGUUGGAAAAAAAAAGCAAGAGAUUUAAGCAAAUUCAAUGUUGGGUGUAAAUAUAGCAUUUCAAACACACAUUUUACAUCGCUGCUUGAGAUUCAAUCUCGAGGUCAAUUGAAAGUACAGAAAAAGAAAAAACUUGCAGAAUACUUUCAAGCUGAAUUCAUCUGCGUAAGCUACAAAAUCUAAAUUGGGAUAAAACUACAAGAUUGUCUAUUAUAAAAUAAUAGCAAUUCUCUAUACUCACCUCAAUGAAGUAAAACCAUACUCGUCGCCAGUACGGAUU
rnacentral:lncRNA from 1 species